UAAUACGAAGGGGGCUAGCGUUACUCGGAAUUACUGGGCGUAAAGGGCGCGUAGGCGGCGUUCCAAGUCAGGCGUGAAAUUCCCGGGCUUAACCUGGGGACUGCGCUUGAGACUGGGGUGCUAGAGGAUGGAAGAGGGUCGUGGAAUUCCCAGUGUAGAGGUGAAAUUCGUAGAUAUUGGGAAGAACACCGGUGGCGAAGGCGGCGACCUGGUCCAUUUCUGACGCUGAGGCGCGACAGCGUGGGGAGCAAACAGGAUUAGAUACCCUGGUAGUCCACGCCGUAAACGAUGUGCGCUGGAUGUUGGGCGGCCUAGCCGCUCAGUGUCGUAGCCAACGCGGUAAGCGCACCGCCUGGGGAGUACGGCCGCAAGGUUG
rnacentral:rRNA from 1 species